UACGAAGGGGGCUAGCGUUGCUCGGAAUCACUGGGCGUAAAGGGUGCGUAGGCGGGUUUUUAAGUCAGAGGUGAAAUCCUGGAGCUCAACUCCAGAACUGCCUUUGAUACUGAAAGUCUUGAGUAUGGGAGAGGUGAGUGGAACUGCGAGUGUAGAGGUGAAAUUCGUAGAUAUUCGCAAGAACACCAGUGGCGAAGGCGGCUCACUGGCCCAUAACUGACGCUGAGGCACGAAAGCGUGGGGGAGCAAACAG
rnacentral:rRNA from 1 species